GAUCCUCAACUACAUAAAGAGCAUGAUCCAGUUUGUGCAGUAUGUGAAGACCUUUCUUCACGUUGGUGAAGAAAGACCGUUGCAGUCAGUACCUUCUGACUGCAACGGUCAGAAGGUACUGACUGUUGCAAGGAAGGAGACACUCAAUACCAUGGAACUCUUAAAUCGCUUCAUUUCACCGAGUGAGGAUGCGGUAACACAUUUGCGCUAUUACUGUGAGGCCAUAAUGAUCUUGGGGCACUUCCAGAGACCAGGAGCAGUGGAAGGAAUGACAACAGCAGACUGGUUGGAAAGGAAGGAUUCUGAUGGCAGAGUCUGUGUUGGUGUCAGCAGGCACAAGACGACCACGAUGCAAAUAGCUACAUUUGCCCUGACUGGGGAGGAGGAGGCAAUAUUUCAGGCAUAUUUUGAACAUAUCCGCGCAAAGUCCGUCGACCCAGAAGUAGACGAGGACGGCAGAUUUUUCCUGUCCAAAUGGGGCCGGCCCAUUGCAAGUGCCACCAAUGUUGUGGCUCGUCUGCACGAGUAGAAAGUAACAACAGGAGGCCAUGCAUAUGCUGUGUGUACUGUGCAGAUCAAGAGGGUUGGGGAGAGAAAGAGAAACUGAAAUCAUUCAGUGCAGAGAGUGGAUGUGUCAUCUGAGAUUUCUGCUCCAUUGCAGCUACAAAUGUGAGAAUGUGACGAGUCGGGAGAUCAGGAGGGUUGUAGAAACGGAGGCGGCCAACACCUUCACAGAGGAGCAGCAGUCUGGUGUGGCCCACUACAUGGCCCAUUCAACCUCCGUUGCAAAGCAACAUUAUCGGAUGAGGACACUUCACGAGACUGUUGUCACUAGCAACCUGCUGCAGAGCUUAAGAGGAUCUUCUCCUGAGGAUUCAACUGACGGGAGGGCUGGUCAGUCACAGAAGAGAGGCAGAGAGUGAUUCGGAAGAGAAAGAAACAGAACAUGACGGCGUUUCUCUCCAAAUUCCCAGUAACAUUGAAUGGGCAGCCUCCCUGCAAGCGGAUCAGAGUCAGUGCUGGGUUCAGUGAAGGCAGGGAGCUGUAUGACAAGUGGAGGGUUAUGCAGCGUGGCAUGCGGGAGGAGCAUCUCUUGUCCGUGUUUGUGAGACGAGCACCCACGGUUCAGACUGUGGCAAGGCGCAUCGAGAAGGAGGGCUGGAGUGGCACGGCUUAUGAACCACUCAAAGAAAAGGUUCAAUGCAAAGCGCCGUCGCUGCACCAUCCUCCUCCUGGCCAGCAAGGACAUCGAAGUGGGUGAGGAGAUCCGCUUCGACUACGGCGUGUGGAGGCAGUCAUUCUCAGGGGAAGGUCUGCACCUGGAAUGGCUGGAUUCUUGAUCCAGCACCAGACAUCUCUUGUUGAUCAAGACGGAUCUGCUCUUAAGGCAUUUUUAGGGGGAACAAAUGUAAUAUAAAGAUGUUUUUCUUCUUUCUGCCAGUGCUGACAAGAAGAUGUAGGAGAGGUGGAACGAGGGGUAUGUAAAAAGUAUGUAAAGACCGAUACGUUACAGACGUAACGUACUAUAGCCAAGAUGCACAUGGCUGCUGUUAGCUAACAACGCAGCAACACAACGGAUAUUUAAUGCAACUUAUAACGUUACGUUAAAACCCUCGUUAUUUUUACGCUCUGAAUGCGCCGGCCUGUUCGAAACUUGGCUCGGGAACCGGAACCGGCGCAGAGCGCUGCCGGUGUGAAAGUCCUAUGAGUGAACUCCCAGUGAGACCUGAUGCCAAACGCAUGGCUGAGAAAAUAUUUGUAAUAUAUUUUAUUAAUAUUACCAUUCAUAAAAUACUGAGUCACUUUGACAAUAUGCAGAGCUGACGACAAGCACAUGUAUCCUGCUGCACUGAUGUGACACCAGAGAGGAGGAUUUACUUGGAUCUUGUCCACAUGGGAAGAUUUCUGUUGGUCAUAACAAUUAAAAUGAGAGAAUAAAGGGCGCUUUGUGUUUAUUCUUUUGUUUUUUAUUAUUUGUAGUAAGUGUAGUAAAAACGGGAGGCCACUGUGCAGAUCAAGGGGGUUAGGGGUUAAUGACGUAUACUGAGCCUUGCAUUCAAUAAAUAGAUAUGAUUAAGAGAAAAUGAAAUCAUUCAGUGCUGAGAGUGAAUGGAUUUGUGCUCCUUUGCAGCUUUGGAACUGGAGACGGCCAACCCUUUCUGAAGGGAGCAGGAGCAGCAGACUGGUGUGGCUCAGUACAUGGCCAACACAGAGACAUGUUUUGAUCUCUGUGUUAAAGGCAUUUUCAGGGGGGACAGACUGCAGCUGGAAUCUCAUGUAACUCCAGUUUAGAGAGAGGGAGGUCCUCUGUCCCCUCCACCAGUCCACCAAUGUCUUUGUAUGCAUGUCUGCUGUCCAAGAGAGGGUGCAGUGAGCACUGAUUCCUCAGGGCAUGUGUUGGGCUUAUCUUUGUUGGCCUUGUCCAGGUCGUUCUGUAAGUUUUGUCCCCUACACCACUCUCAUCAAUAGGAAUCUUCACGAUUUCACUGCAGAUGGGGCUCUGUAUAUCCUAAACCUCUCUCUGUUUUGGGAGCUCCCCUGUCCCCUCCACCAGUCCACCAGUGAGUGUCUUUGUAUGUAUGUCUGCUGUCCAAGAGAGGGUGCAGUGAGCACUGAAUCCACACUGAUUUGCUUCGUUGUUUAAACAUGGCCUGGCCUGUUACACGUGGAAAAUGCAGUAACUAGAUAAGCAUGUGGGACUUUUUUCAGUCAGCUUGGCUCAACAUAAAGACUAGAUAUUAGGUGACCUGGUGGCCAUGGCUCUCUAUGAAGCUCUGUAAUUGUCUCUUUUUGUGGUUUUACGAGGGUUUACUUGUAUGUGCAACAAAGCUACUGUAAGUAAUUUGCUUGUGGCCUAUUAAAGUAUGUCGAGGUCUAA